CUUCUCCAUCUCCUUCUUUCUCCAGACAUUUUCUGGAAAUCUCUUUUCUUCCACUUUCCAGCAAUGAAUUUUGAUCGCUGUUUCCAUUUCAGACUCAAUUUUAGAUUGUGUUUAGAUACCACUCUGAAGAAACCACAGAAAAGCAAACCCUGGAAAUAAGCCAGUGUUCUGGAGCAGAUGUGUAUAUAUCCAGGGACUGGAAACUUGUUACAGUUGACAGAGAUAUCAAACCUUUGGUUCGCUCCUCAUUACAGGAUUCCCAUCUCGCACAAUGUACUCAUCCCUUUCAGACACUGAUGCUAGACUUGUUUUACUAGCACAGUAUUCAUUUUCCUUUUUUUUUUCCUUUUUAAUUUUUUGUUAUAACUCAUUAGAAGGCACUAAUCAGCUACUUUUGAUUCUACUAUUAGUAUCUGAAC
ensembl:lncRNA